UUUAUUAAGUAUAUCAAAAACAAAUAAAAAUAAAGAAAAAAACUAUUUCACUCUCAUCCUUCUUCUCUUUCUCUCUCUCGAAGGCCUUAGAAGCUAAGGAAAAAACAUCACUUUUCUAAAUUUCUUGCAUCGUUCAGCCAAGGAACCUUGCUCAAGGAUAGAAUUAAGAGAAGAAUACUAAGGCUUGAGAUCGUCAGGUAUUAUUCCACUCAAGUUGGCCCACACACUUAAACUUGGACUUAAGGUAAGGAAAAAGGAAAAAUGGAUCAACCAUGAGUCAGAGGUCUCCCGACGAAUAUACAUAUCAACCUCGUUGUAUUUUGUGCUUAGUUGACAGGAUCUGACUUUUGUAGUAUUUUGAAUAUGUAUUAAUAUUUUGUAAUAAAAUAAUUAAUACAGUGAUAUUUUAGUAAA